AUGAAAAGUACAAUUUACAAACACAGCAACAAUACAAGUNAAUCAGCAGCCAAAUCAGUGCAGCUUGGUCAGACGGUCACUAUUGACUGUAAGGCCAGUAGACAAGUAGCUCACUAUUAUGGUUCACAGUACUACCUGUCCUGGUACCACCAGAAACCUGGAGAAGCUCCUAAAGCUCUGAUCUACAGAACAUCAUCCAGAUUUUCAGGAAUCUCCUCCAGAUUCAGUGGAAGUGGCACCGGGAAUGACAGAGACUUCACUCUGACCAUCAGUGGAGUUCAGGCUGAAGAUGCAGGAGUUUAUUACUGUCAGAGUUAUCAUAGUGGUGAUGUGUUCACACAGUGAAAAAUCAUCGUACAAAAACCUCCCUCAGUCUGAACAGAAACUGAACUUUGUUCUGCAGCAAACACUGAUACAGUUCACUGACCACAUCAGGCCAGAAAUGAUCUCCAUUAA